rnacentral:rRNA from 1 species
GACGAACGCUGGCGGCGUGCCUAAUACAUGCAAGUAGAACGCAGUUGCGAACGGGUGAGUAACGCGUAGGUAACUGCCUGGUAGCGGGUGAUAACUAUUGGAAACGAUAGCUAAUACCGCAUACUACCAGAUGGACCUGCGUUGUAUUAGCUAGUUGGUGGGGUAACGGCUCACCAAGGAUACGAUACAUAGCCGACAUGAGAGUGUGAUCGGCCACCCUGGGACUGAGACACGGCCCAGACUCCGACGGGAGGCAGCAGUAGGGAAUCUUCGGCAAUGGGGGGAAACCUGACCGAGCAACGCCGGGUGAGUGAAGAAGGUUUUCGGAUCGUAAAGCUCUGUUGUGAAGGAAGCGGUACGGAAAGAGAAAGGGACGGCUAACUACGUGCCAGCAGCCGCGGUAAUAG